rnacentral:tRNA from 1 species
GGGGCAUAGCUCAGUUGGUAGAGCGUCGGCUUUGCAAGCCGAAUGUCGCCGGUCCGAGUCCGACUGCCUCC